UCGGGUGGCCAUGGCGACGGGGUUCACCCCUAUCCAUUCCGAACAGGGAAGUUAAGUCCGUCUGCGCCGAUGGUACUGCCAGACCAGGUGGGAGAGUAGGCCGCCGCCUUCU
rnacentral:rRNA from 1 species